UCAAACGAGCCGAACAUCGAAAU
rnacentral:miRNA from 1 species